GACGAACGCUGGCGGCGUGCUUAACACAUGCAAGUCGAACGGAAAGGCCCCCACCUUGGUGGGGGUGCUCGAGUGGCGAACGGGUGAGUAACACGUGGGUGAUCUGCUCUGUACUUCGGGAUAAGCUGGGGAAACUGGGUCUAAUACCGGAUAGGACCAUGCUUUAGUGUGUCAGGGGGGAAAAAUUAGUGUUUUGGUGCAGGAUGAGCUCGCGGCCGAUCAGAUUGUGGGUGGGGUAAUGGCCUACCAAGGCGUCGGCGGGUAGCAGGGCUGGGGGGGUGGACGGCCACAUUGGGACCGAGAUACGGCCCAGACUCCUACGGGAGGAAGCAGUGGGGAAUAUUGCCAAAGGGGCGCAAGCCUGAUGCAGCGACGCCGCGUGGGGGAUGACGGCCUUCGGGUUGUAAACUCCUUUCGUUAGGGACGAAGCCACACCUUUUUUGGGUGUGGUGACGGUACCUUUGUGAAGAAGCACCGGCUAACUACGUG
rnacentral:rRNA from 1 species